GGGCCGCUAGCUCAGCUGGUAGAGCAACGCCCUUUUAAGGCGUGGGUCAUUGGUUCGAAUCCAAUGCGGCUCA
rfam:Salinispira pacifica strain L21-RPul-D2, complete genome.